ACGCACGCUGGCGGCGUGCUUCACCCAUGCAAGUCGCACGCUGAAGCUCAGCUUUUGUUGGGUGGAUGAGUGGCGAACGGGUGAGUAACACGUGAGUAACCUGCCCCCUUCUUUGGGAUAACGCCCGGAAACGGGUGCUAAUACUGGAUAUUCACUGGUCUUCGCAUGGGGGUUGGUGGAAAGGGUUUUUCUGGUGGGGGAUGGGCUCGCGGCCUAUCAGCUUGUUGGUGGGGUGAUGGCCUACCAAGGCUUUGACGGGUAGCCGGCCUGAGAGGGUGACCGGUCACAUUGGGACUGGGAUACGGCCCAGACUGCUACGGGAGGCAGCAGUGGGGAAUAUUGCACAAUGGGCGCAAGCCUGAUGCAGCGACGCCGCGUGAGGGAUGGAGGCCUUCGGGUUGUGAACCUCUUUCGCUCAUGGUCAAGCCGCAACAAUGGUUGUGGUGAGGGUAGUGGGUAAAGAAGCGCCGGCUAACUACGUG
rnacentral:rRNA from 1 species